CCUACGGGAGGCAGCAGUGAGGAAUAUUGGUCAAUGGGCUUACGCCUGAACCAGCCAAGUCGCGUGAGGGAAGACUGCCCUAUGGGUUGUAAACCUCUUUUGUCAGGGAGCAAUUGGCGCUACGUGUAGCGUUAUCGAGAGUACCUGAAGAAAAAGCAUCGGCUAACUCCGUGCCAGCAGCCGCGGUAAUACGGAGGAUGCGAGCGUUAUCCGGAUUUAUUGGGUUUAAAGGGUGCGUAGGCGGACUGGAAAGUCAGCGGUAAAAUCGAGAGGCUCAACCUCUUUCCGCCGUUGAAACUGUCGGUCUUGAGUGGGCGAGAAGUAUGCGGAAUGCGUGGUGUAGCGGUGAAAUGCAUAGAUAUCACGCAGAACUCCGAUUGCGAAGGCAGCAUACCGGCGCCCGACUGACGCUGAGGCUCGAAAGUGUGGGUAUCAAACAGGAUUAGAUACCCGAGUAGUC
rnacentral:rRNA from 1 species